rnacentral:rRNA from 1 species
UACAGAGGGUGCUAGCGUUGUUCGGAAUCAUUGGGCGUAAAGGGCGUGUAGGCGGUUUGUUAAGUCAUGUGUGAAAUCCCUCGGCUCAACCGGGGAACGACGCAUGAAACUGGCAAGCUAGAGUACCAAAGAGGGGGGUGGAAUUCCCGGUGUAGCGGUGAAAUGCGCAGAUAUCAGGAGGAACACCGGUGGCGAAGGCGGUUCUCUGGGCAUUACCUGACGCUGAGGAGCGAAAGUGUGGGGAGCGAACAGG